CAGAGUCCUGGAAGACGCAGCCUUGGCCAAGGUCGCACAGGGAGCCAGUGGCGACGGGCCCAGCAUCCGGGCCACAGUGCUCGCCCAGAACCUCCCCGUUCCUCUGGUCCCUCUGGCUUCCUCUUGCUCCGCGAGAAGCAGGCUGGGAGGACCCGUUCUCUCUCUCUCUGCUGUGGGGGGUCCAUUUCCUGCCAAAGUUGAAAGCCAGUUCCCCCAGUCUUUCUUCUGAUGAGGCCUUGGCAGAAGUGAUGCCAUGGAGGAGGCGGGGGUGGAGGAGUGGUGAGGAAUCGGGUGUGCUGGGCCCGGUGCCAGGGAGCUUUCCAGACAGAACAAUCCUCGGAAUAACAAGGGAGAGAAGUCCUGGGGUCUGGAAAUUCAGCAGCUCAGUGAUGUCUGCGGAGAGGUGCCGGCCUCCUUCACAUGCUGGCAAUGCCUUACCUCACGGUCACAAGAUGGGUGCAGCAGCGCCUGCCACCGCCCACAGACACACGGUGUUCAAUGAAGGUGUCUGCUUGUAUUCGUCUUUAAAGGUCUGAAGCUUCCUCAUCGGACCUCGGCUCAGUCCUGCUGGCUACGACUGGGUCACAUGCUUCUCACUAAACCAGUAUCUGCUAGAGGGAAUGCGAUCACCAGUCGGCUUAGACCCUUCACGCUUUGCGCCUCAGUACUGAGAGGGCUCUGUCCUCGGAGUGCUUGUCCUCGGGGAGCAGGUCCCAAAGUGGCCUUUCCAGAGGGGAGAAGGAUAUGGGAAGGGCCAGUAUACCUGUGACUCCAGUCUGUGCGAUGGCCGUAGCACAGGCACCCCCUGCUGGUGGGCUGCGCGCUGGCGCCCUCCUAUGGCCCCUGAGGUAAAGACAGCCUGAGCCCAAUGUCCUGAACCCUGGCAAUACCCUCAGCAGGGCUGCGAGAGCCGGGAGUGUUCCUGGUGCCCGGGGGCCAGCUCAGUGGCUCUGGAGGAAUCCGCUCGCUGGGUCCACACGAAUGAACUGGACACCUGCCUUGUGGUGGGCACUGGGUGAUAAGCAAAACUCACCAAGGACCCUGCCCUCAGAGAGCUCCCUCUGGGGGACGAGAUGCUCCAAUAACCACACAGAGUGGGGACAGUGGCCGGUGGGACCAGUUUGGGACUGAUGGGUGCACGGUGCCAUGAGACUUCAGCAGGCAGGUGGGGGUUUUGGAUUUGGCAGUUUUCAUUUCGACCCCAGGCUUGGCCCCUUUCCCACUGGGAUUCUGCAAAGACAAUUUGUCAUCUCUGUGUCUUGGUCCUCAUUGGGAAAUAGCAAAAAUUAAUGCCACCACCCGCCCAAGAAGGGUAGGAAGACUAAAUAGCACAGCCACACUGCGGUUCUAGGAGCCCUCAUGUUACCCGCAGGGGACAGCACAGUGAUGGCAGCUUCUAGCUCCAGCCGGGCUGCACGUGUCUGAGGCCCAGCGCUGCCACCUCCCCGACUGGGGGGGCAUCGAGCGAUUGCUGUCUCCCUAAGCCUUGGCUUCCCCGGCUGUAAGAUGGAGCUAAUAACAAAGACGGUUGUUGAGAUGAGGUAGGAGCCAGGCA